GCAAACUUGGUCAUUUAGAGGAAGUAAAAGUCGUAACAAGGUAACCGUAGGUGAACCUGCGGUUGGAUCAUUAACGAAUAACUAUAUGAUUCGAACCCUACUCUAAUACUACUAGAGGACAGGUUCGAAUUAUAUUAUCACCCCUCUUGUGAACUGUAAACGUACUUUGGCAGCCCUCCAAAGCUCCAAUUUUAAUAUCUCGUUAAAAUUGGAAUGGGCUGUCAGUUUUUAUGUUAAACACCUGUUUUUAUACAACAUAUGAGUUUUAAAAUGAGCAGCGAAAAGACCUUUGUAAUAAAGGGUUGGUAUCAAAGCUACAUUUCUUUAUUGAAAUGAUUUGAAAAAACAACUUUUGACAACGGAUCUCUUGGCUCUCGCAUCGAUGAAGAACGCAGC
rnacentral:misc_RNA from 1 species